UGUAGGAGCUGCCGGAGUCUGCGAUCUUUUGAUUUUGUCUUUUAAUCAAGAUCAAAAGAUCGCAGACUCCGGCAGCUCCUACA
rnacentral:antisense_RNA from 1 species